rnacentral:rRNA from 1 species
ACUUACUAAGCCAUUACUGACGCUGAGGCACGAAAGCGUGGGUAGCGAACAGGAUUAGAUACCCUGGUAGUCCACGCUGUAAACGAUGUUCACUCGCUGUUUGCGAUACACAGUAAGCGGCUGAGCGAAAGCAUUAAGUGAACCACCUGGGGAGUACGAUCGCAAGGUUGAAACUCAAAGGAAUUGACGGGGGCCCGCACAAGCGGAGGAACAUGUGGUUUAAUUCGAUGAUACGCGAGGAACCUUACCUGGGCUUAAAUGUAGAUUGCAUUUCUGAGAAAUCGGGAUUCCCUUCGGGGCUAUUUACAAGGUGCUGCAUGGUUGUCGUCAGCUCGUGCCGUGAGGUGUCGGGUUAAGUCCCAUAACGAGCGCAACCCCUAUCGUUAGUUGCCAGCGGGUCAAGCCGGGGACUCUAGCGAGACUGCCACCGUAAGGUGAGAGGAAGGUGGGGAUGACGUCAAAUCAGCACGGCCCUUAUGUCCAGGGCUACACACGUGUUACAAUGGCCGAUACAAAGGGCAGCUACUUCGCGAGAAGAUGCUAAUCUCUAAAGUCGGUCCCAGUUCGGAUUGGAGUCUGCAACCCGACUCCAUGAAGUUGGAUUCGCUAGUAAUCGCGCAUCAGCCAUGGCGCGGUGAAUACGUUCCCGGGCCUUGUACACACCGCCCGUCAAACCAUGGGAGCUGGGGGUGCCUGAAGUCUGCCACCGCAAGGAGCGGCCUAGGGUAAAGCUAGUGACUGGGGUUAAGUCGUAACAAGGUAACCGUA